UACGUAGGGUCCGAGCGUUUAAUCGGAAUUACUGGGCGUAAAGCGUGCGCAGGCGGUUUUGUAAGCCAGAUGUGAAAGCCCCGGGCUCAACCUGGGGAACUGCAUUUGGGGACUGCAAGGCUGGAGUGCGGCAGAGGAGACUGGAAUUCCUGGUGUAGCAGUGAAAUGCGUAGAUAUCAGGAGGAAUACCGAUGGCGAAGGCAGGUCUCUGGGCUGACACUGACGCUGAAGUGCGAAAGCUAGGGGAGCGAACGGG
rnacentral:rRNA from 1 species